rnacentral:rRNA from 1 species
UACAGAGGUCUCAAGCGUUGUUCGGAUUCAUUGGGCGUAAAGGGCUCGUAGGCGGCCAACUAAGUCGGAUGUGAAAUCCCCAGGCUUAACCUGGGAACUGCAUCCGAUACUGGAUGGCUUGAAUCCGGGAGAGGGAUGCAGAAUUCCAGGUGUAGCGGUGAAAUGCGUAGAUAUCUGGAGGAAUACCGGUGGCGAAGGCGGCAUCCUGGACCGGCAUUGACGCUGAGGAGCGAAAGCUAGGGGAGCAAACAGG